GAUGAACGCUGGCGGCGUGCCUAAUACAUGCAAGUCGAGCGAACAGACGAGGAUCUUGCUCCUCUGACGUUAGCGGCGGACGGGUGAGUAACACGUGGAUAACCUACCUAUAAGACUGGGAUAACUUCGGGAAACCGGAGCUAAUACCGGAUAAUAUAUUGAACCGCAUGGUUCAAUAGUGAAAGACGGUUUUGCUGUCACUUAUAGAUGGAUCCGCGCCGCAUUAGCUAGUUGGUAAGGUAAAGGCUUAUCAAGGCAACGAUGCGUAGCCGAUCUGUGAGGUUGAUCGGCCACACUGGAGCUGAGACACGGUCCAGACUCCUACGGGAGGCGGCAGAAGGGUAUCUUCCGCAAUGGGCGAAAGCAUGACGUAACAACGCCGCGUAAGUGAUGAAGGUCUUGGGAUCGUAAAACUCUGUUAUUAGGGAAGAACAAGUGUGUAAGUAACUAUGCACGUCUUGACGGUACCUAAUCAGAAAGCCACGGCUAGCUACGUG
rnacentral:rRNA from 1 species